ACUCAUACCUUGCAGGGGAAAUACCAUGUCAUAAAAGUGGUUUUCCCAGGGGGGAGGCUCAUCCAUUGCACUUAGGUGUUCUGCUGAUCCCUAUGAUUUCCCCAAAUAUGGGAACUCAUUUGCAUAAUUUGUGUUAAUGGGGGAUUGCCCUUGUGAUUUCCCUAG
rnacentral:snRNA from 1 species